GACGAACGCUGGCGGCGUGCCUAAUACAUGCAAGUAGAACGCUGAAGGAGGAGCUUGCUUCUCCGGAUGAGUUGCGAACGGGUGAGUAACGCGUAGGUAACCUGCCUGGUAGCGGGGGAUAACUAUUGGAAACGAUAGCUAAUACCGCAUAAGAGUAGAUGUUGCAUGACAUUUACUUAAAAGGUGCAAUUGCACCACUACCAGAUGGACCUGCGUUGUAUUAGCUAGUUGGUGGGGUAACGGCUCACCAAGGCGACGAUACAUAGCCGACCUGAGAGGGUGAUCGGCCACACUGGGACUGAGACACGGCCCAGACUCCUACGGGAGGCAGCAGUAGGGAAUCUUCGGCAAUGGACGGAAGUCUGACCGAGCAACGCCGCGUGAGUGAAGAAGGUUUUCGGAUCGUAAAGCUCUGUUGUAAGAGAAGAACGAGUGUGAGAGUGGAAAGUUCACACUGUGACGGUAUCUUACCAGAAAGGGACGGCUAACUACGUGCCAGCAGCCGCGGUAAUACGUAGGUCCCGAGCGUUGUCCGGAUUUAUUGGGCGUAAAGCGAGCGCAGGCGGUUAGAUAAGUCUGAAGUUAAAGGCUGUGGCUUAACCAUAGUACGCUUUGGAAACUGUUUAACUUGAGUGCAAGAGGGGAGAGUGGAAUUCCAUGUGUAGCGGUGAAAUGCGUAGAUAUAUGGAGGAACACCGGUGGCGAAAGCGGCUCUCUGGCUUGUAACUGACGCUGAGGCUCGAAAGCGUGGGGAGCAAACAGG
rnacentral:rRNA from 1 species